rnacentral:rRNA from 1 species
AGUCUUUGAACGCAAGUUGCGCCCGGAGCCUU